GCGAUUAAAAAAAUAAAGGAGUAUAUCCCUCUCCCUUAGUGUCUUUCCACUUCCGUCGUUCAGGAACAAACACUUCGCCUAAUUCUUUUGAAUCCCGGCCCGUUUUUUCCCCACUAACCAAUUACGUUACGACCAUUGAACAAACUUGGUUGACAAACAUAGUUUAUGCGCCGCUAAUGUAGCGGCUUGUCGAGCAUUUGACAAACUCACACCAUCCAUUUCAAAUAGGAUUUGUCCCGUAGACACACGAGCAAUCCAACCCGUAGGAUUUCCUUUUCCUCUUCCCAUUCUUACUUCUGUAGGUUUCCCGGUAAUAGGGAGAUCUGCGAAAACUCUUACCCAUAUCUUACCAUUUCUUCGGAAUUGUCCGCUCAUAGCACGAUGGAAUUGUCCUAUUAUAGCCCGACGCGCUGCUUCAAUGGCUCGAUAUGAAAGACGACCAGCUUUACAACUUUUAAUGCCAUAUCUUCCAAAACCAAGUUGUGUACCGUCCAGUUUGCAACCCCUACUACAUCUGCCUUUACGAUAUUUACUAUAUUUCGUACGUUUCGGAUAUAGCAUGUCCCCCCUUUUUUUUACUAUAUGAAAUCCACACUUUGACACCUAAGAUUCCGUAACGAGUAGAUACUUCCGCAGAAGCAUAAUCUAUUUUCUGGUUAAAUACAUUACAAGAUGUUUUUCCAUACUUUCCGCAUUCAGUUCUAGCUAUUUCUGCGCCUUCUAAUCGACCUGAACAACAUAUACGGAUCCCCUCCACCCCUUUUUUCAUUACUAAUGGAAUAUCCUUCACUAUUUUACUAAAAAUG
rnacentral:misc_RNA from 1 species